UUUCUUCUAUCUUUCUUUUCUUCUAUCUUUCUUUUCUUCUAUCUUUCUUUCAGUGGCACCCUGACAAGGCACCAGAGAAAGAACGUGAUGCUGCAACCAAAGAAUUCCAAAAAAUUAGUGAAGCUUAUGAGGUGUUAAGUGAUAAAGAACAACGAAAAAUGUACGAUCUCAUGGAUUCAGGAAGUGAUGCAAAUCAAGAUAGUAAUCAGCACACUAGUCAUCAGAGACCACAGUCACAGCCAUAUUCGGGUUCAACUUCACAGACUGGAAAUUGGGGAAAAGGUCGUCCACAACAAGAACAAUACACUUUCAAUCAUAGAAAUCCAGAAGAUGUGUUCAAAGAUUUCUUUGGUACCAAUAAUCCUUUUGAUAAGAUGUUUAUGAAUGUUGAUACCGAAAGUAUGAAU
rnacentral:ribozyme from 1 species